AUAUCUUAAAAGGUUAUUUUGUGACCCAGAAAGGGUAGUCUGGUGAAAAAGAGGAUCGCAUUUGUCGGCUGCGGUUGUCGGAGCCUGUGCGUACUUGUAAGCGCGGCAAUGGCGGAGGAGCACUGCUGAAAAACGUAUUACUUUUUCUGGGUCACAAAAUAAACUUUUAAGAUAUUUUCAGGCGAGAAUGUAGCUGUGUGAAUUUCAAAUAUCUGCUCGAUUUAUCAAGACAUCACAUAUUUGCAAAAAUGCUCCGACGUUUUCAUGCUUUGUGGCAGCUUUAGAACAUCUGUGGCAUCUAUUAAUGUCAAAUCUAGCCUUUAUUUAACAACAUAAGCAAACUCUAUGUUACAAUGAUUGCACAGCCAUUAAGGAUCAAAUCAGUUUCUGAAAUAUGUUCUGUUUUUUCUCCCUCUGCUUGCUUCUUACUGUCUUUGAGGCCCAUCGGGACCAGCACUCCUGUUGUUGGACAGGAAGACAUCAACUCAGUGACUUGAGAUAUGACCGCACUAUGCUGUUGCUGUGACUCCAGUUAAUUCUACAAGACAUGCUGUGACACCAGGAGAGAUGAGUCCUCCGUCACAGAUGGUGUGGUCAGUGAAGGUGGUCACCUGCAGGAUCAAGCUCAUUGCAUCUCCAACCCACAUCCACUGCCACUGUACUUAAGGGAAGUUAAAGACUUUCUUCUGCACCUACAUUUGAAUCACCUCGAUCCAUGACAGUCAUUCAGGCAGUAAUGCCUGGACUGGAAACAAGCCAUCCUUAAAAUAUUACAACAUUCCAGCUCAUGUGUUGGAAUGAAAAACGAAUGUGUUGUUUAAAUUAGAGACUGCACUUGUGACAGAACAAUAAAUAUUUUAUGUUGAUUAUAUAAAUAAUGUAAGUACAAAACAAACUUGUGGUAGGCCUAAACUUAUUUUCAGAAUAAUUACAUCUGAGACUUUGUUUCGUUGUAACAGUGAUGGCAAUAUAAUUUUUAUUCAGCAGAACAGUGUCCAGUAUGUUGGCUGUUGUACUUUGUUGUGUUUGAAAAUAAAAGUUGUGCUCAUUUUAACAUCAUUACAAAAAUUGUUGUUAAUUAUUUUUAAUCAUAUUCAUGGUACCACAAAUUGUUUUUUCAUUUAGUUGAACUUGAA